AGCAGCCGCGGUAAUUCCAGCUCCAAUAGCGUAUAUUAAAGUUGUUGCAGUUAAAAAGCUCGUAGUUGAAUUUCGGGACCAAUUUGUUGGUCGUGCCUCGGUACGUACUGGUAUUAUUGGUUUCUCCCUUCUGAAGAACCAUGAUGCCAUUAAUUUGGUGUCGUGGGGAAUCAGGACUGUUACUUUGAAAAAAUUAGAGUGUUUAAAGCAGGCAUACGCUUGAAUACAUUAGCAUGGAAUAAUGAAAUAGGACGUUUGAUUCUAUUUUGUUGGUUUCUAGGAUCGACGUAAUGAUUAAUAGGGAUAGUUGGGGGCAUUAGUAUUCAAUUGUCAGAGGUGAAAUUCUUGGAUUUAUUGAAGACUAACUACUGCGAAAGCAUUUGCCAAGGAUGUUUUCAUUAAUCAAGAACGAAAGUUAGGGGAUCGAAGACGAUCAGAUACCGUCGUAGU
rnacentral:rRNA from 1 species